GUUGAUUGGGAAACUCAUCAAAUUUUUAUGAAAUACCGAGACAAGCUUAGCUGUCUGAUGGCGGGCCCCAUCCUCAUUAAUUUGGGGAGGCUUAUUGCCCAGGCGGAUUACAAAGGACGGCGAGCGCUCAAAUCCUGUCAUUCGGAGUUUCAUCGCAUCCUUUGAUGUGGACUU
rnacentral:sRNA from 1 species